CCUACGUGCGGCAGCAGUGAGGAAUAUUGGUCAAUGGGCGGAAGCCUGAACCAGCCAAGUCGCGUGAGGGAUUAAGGCCCUGCGGGUCGUAAACCUCUUUUGCCGGGGAGCAGUGGUCCGGACGUGUCCGGGCCGGGCGAGUACCCGGAGCAAAAGCAUCGGCUAACUCCGUGCCAGCAGCCGCGGUAAUACGGAGGAUGCGAGCGUUUUCCGGAUUUAUUGGGUUUAAAGGGAGCGAAGGCGGCACGGCAAGCCUGAUGGGAAAGCCCGCGGCCCCACCGCGGGACUGCAUUGUGAACUACCGGGCUGGAGUGACGGAGAGGUAGGCGGAAUUCCUAGUGUAGCGGUGAAAUGCUUAGAUAUCACGAAGAACUCCGAUUGCGAAGGCAGAUCACUGGACUGCAACUGACACUGAGGCGCGAAAGUGUGGGUAUCAAACAGGAUUAGAGACCCGGGUAGUC
rnacentral:rRNA from 1 species